GCAAGUUAUUGGGUAUCAAAACCUAAUAGCGAAAUUAACAUAACUUUUAUGGGAUUAGUUUUUAGAUUAUUUAUAGUCUAUUAAUUCAAUCCCGGGGCGUUCUAUAUAGUUAUGUAUAAUAAUAUUUAUAUUAUUUAUACCUCUAACUAGAGCGUACCUUGAGCAUAUAUGCUGUGACCCGAAAGAUGGUGAACUAUACUUGAUCAGGUUGAAGUCAGGGGAAACCCUGAUGGAAGACCGAAACAGUUCUGACGUGCAAAUCGAUUGUCAGAAUUGAGUAUAGGGGCGAAAGACCAAUCGAACCAUCUAGUAGCUGGUUCCCUCCGAAGUUUCCCUCAGGAUAGCUGGUGCAUUUAAAUAUUAUGUAAAAUAAUCUUAUCUGGUAAAGCGAAUGAUUAGAGGCCUUAGGGUCGAAACGACCUUAACCUAUUCUCAAACUUUAAAUGGGUAAGAACCUCACCUUUCUUGGUAUGAAGGUUGUGGUUGUGAUAUAAUGUGCCCAGUGGGCCACUUUUGGUAAGCAGAACUGGCGCUGUGGGAUGAACCAAACGUAAUGUUACGGUGCCCAAAUUAACAACUCAUGCAGAUACCAUGAAAGGCGUUGGUUGCUUAAAACAGCAGGACGGUGGACAUGGAAGUCGUAAUCCGCU
rnacentral:rRNA from 1 species